AUUGAACGCUGGCGGCAUGCCUUACACAUGCAAGUCGAACGGUAACAGGUCUUCGGAUGCUGACGAGUGGCGAACGGAUGAGUAAUACAUCGGAACGUGCCCGAUCGUGGGGGAUAACGGAGCGAAAGCUUUGCUAAUACCGCAUACGAUCUACGGAUGAAAGCAGGGGACCGCAAGGCCUUGCGCGGACGGAGCGGCCGAUGGCAGAUUAGGUAGUUGGUGGGAUAAAAGCUUACCAAGCCGACGAUCUGUAGCUGGUCUGAGAGGACGACCAGCCACACUGGGACUGAGACACGGCCCAGACUCCUACGGGAGGCAGCAGUGGGGAAUUUUGGACAAUGGGCGAAAGCCUGAUCCAGCCAUGCCGCGUGCAGGAUGAAGGCCUUCGGGUUGUAAACUGCUUUUGUACGGAACGAAAAGACUCUUUCUAAUAAAGAGGGUCCAUGACGGUACCGUAAGAAUAAGCACCGGCUAACUACGUG
rnacentral:rRNA from 1 species